GACUGACGGUUCAAAAAAAAUCAUUCUGGAAAGAAUGUUAGAGAUUAAUUAGUAAUAACUAUGGAUAAAAAUGUUUUGAAUACGUCUUAAUAUUAUUAGCAUGACAUAGUUUAUAAAAAAAGUUAAAUAUUAAAAUUAUAAAAAAUGAAAAGGCAGCUUACAAUUUCACUAUUUCAACGUUGUAAAACAAAAUACUGCAGACGACAAAAUACAAAAUAAGCGUAACGGCGUAACCUCGAGUCGACCGGGUUGGAAACCCAGGAACUGAAGGAUCAAGCCCACGAUUUUCCCUCUGCUAUGCUGACUCAUGGAGCCAUUGUUGCUCAUCACAAACAAGUGACUCGUACUCUUGCCAACGUCAGGCUGACUUUUCAGCAAAGAGCGGCAGAGAAGAAACUAGAAUCCAAUAUGAGCUGUGAUGUAUAAGUUGAACAGCAUUUCAAGCAAUUAUUCAUCUAUUUUAUUUACUGUAUGCAAUUUUUUUAUCUAAUCUAGACUAGACUUAUCUGAUGCUGUGAUUCGGCAAGGAAAAACUUGUUGAGUGAGGGUUGUAGUUUGGAGGAUAGUGAGUUUGGUCGCUUGGUUAAUGAGGUUGAUGCUCUUAGGACCUCGUCUUUUGGUUUCAAUCCAAAUCAAACUGGAAAAGUUACCUUAUUGUUAUACUUAUACAAAUUCUUCAUUUGUGUGUAGAUAAAUGUUUUAUUAUGAA